CUCUGAAUGCACAGAGCAAUGCAACAGUGAUAUCUGCUUUGGCAGAUUAUAGGGUUGGAAUUAAUAGCACCUAUAGAACUUUCCAUUCACCUUCUUAUGGGAGGACAUGACGGGAGAAGACUCCUCUCUCAUGUGCCAAGGAGAUGGCUGCACAUUUCGCGCUCGUGCUGGUAAGACUGCCUUGCAGCUUGCAGCCUUGUUUUAAAAGCAGGAUGACACCCAGAGGAAUGUUGUUCAUGGCGGAAGAGAGAACAAGGUUCAAAGGAAAGAGAAGACAAAGGUAGCUGAAGCACAGAUUGCAGCAGUUUUGGAAUUACUUCUGCAGUGAUUCUUGGAGACUUAUGGCCUCACAAUGAGUCUGCGUUUGCCAGUGAAGAAGCCCAGCAACAGAUUUUCCAAGAUAUAUCGGGACAAGCUAACAAAGAAACUAGGGAAGAGAGAGUACAUG
rnacentral:lncRNA from 1 species